CAGGAUUCUACAGGAAUUACAGAAAUCUACAGGAUUUCUACAGGAGCCAGUGAGCAUCAGUAAUCCCAGACCUGUUACUCAUAAAGUAAAUGACACAGGAGAAGAGAUUCACAGGAGAGUUGAGGCUGGAAGGGACCUGGGGAGGUCACCUGGCCCAGCUUCUCUACUCAAGCAGAGCCAGUUGCCCAGGACCAUGUCCAGAACGCUUCCACGUAUCUCCAGUGAGGGAGGCUCCACAACCUCUCCGGGCAACCUGUGCCAGAGCUUUUUGCCUCACAGCACAAAAGUGUUUCCUGUUGUACAGAGGAAACCUCUCGUGUCUCAGUUUGUGCCUGUGUGCCUCCUCUCCUUAACUGGGCACCACUAGAAACACCCUGGCUCCACCUCCUUUGUGUCCUCACUACAGUGGCACAUCUCAAAUGUGACUCAGCCCAUGUGUGUCCCUACAAUUUGUCCUAUGGAGCAGCUUAGUUUGGAGAGAAGAGGGAAGGGAUGAAAAAAAUUCAGCAACACAUCCUGACAGAAGGCAGCCAGGGAGUGCGGCUUUAUUGGGGAAGAGCUAUGCUGGGAAGAGAGAGAGUAGAUCUCCUGAGACAUCUAAGAGCAGAAAGCUGAUUUAUGUGCCAGUUGACUCUCUGUGGUUCCCUGAAAUGAAGGCUUGUUUUAAAAGUGAGCUAUAUUGUAACUCAACCUGGCGCAUCAGGACUUGAGCUUGGACACGUGCAAGAAGUUUUACUGCGUGUUGUACCCUUGUGUCUGCAGCAGUGAAGUAUGAGGUGGAAAUGGACAUCCUGGCUACUGAGAGAAGAGUGUCACUUCACGGGAUUCCUGCUCUGUGAUAUGACCAGCUUGUUAGGAUUUUGUAUUGAACUACUGCUGCUUUUUUGUUCUCUUUUUCUUUUUUUCCCCCUUAACCCCCAUAGCAUUAGCAGGACUACUCUUUUCAUUAAAACUGGAUCUUAUUGUUUGGCUUUGUCUUGCAGCAAGACAAGUUCCUACAAGAGACAUUACAAAUAUUAACAAUAAAAGGCUACAUCUGAGGCAUGCAAAAUGUGGCCAGCUGCAACAUUUUUGUUCAAAUUGGCAUCGGA